UUUUGAAACACUUUCUGAAGUAACACCAAGAAUACAGGAAAAAGACAGACCUGUCCUAUUCUGUACCACACCCAGGAGCCAACAAAGAGAGAAUUUGAAUAUUCUAUGAGGAGAAACUCAAAUGUGUGAAGAAAAGCCACAGGAACAGAGAAAAGUGCAAAUGAGCCCUCCACAACCUACGCUUGGUGCUGGACUGCACCCAAAUGUCUGGGAGCCAA
rnacentral:lncRNA from 1 species